rnacentral:rRNA from 1 species
UACGAAGGGGGCUAGCGUUGCUCGGAAUCACUGGGCGUAAAGCGCACGUAGGCGGAUCUUUAAGUCAGGGGUGAAAUCCUGGGGCUCAACUCCAGAACUGCCUUUGAUACUGGGGAUCUGGAGUCCGGGAGAGGUGAGUGGAACUGCGAGUGUAGAGGUGAAAUUCGUAGAUAUUCGCAAGAACACCAGUGGCGAAGGCGACUUACUGGACACAUAUUGACGCUGAGGUGCGAAAGCGUGGGGAGCAAACAGG